AGCAGGGUAGAGGAGCUCGGUCGUCCUCGCCGGUCUCAUAAGCCGGAGAUCGUGGGUUCGAAUCCCACUCCUGCGAC
rnacentral:tRNA from 1 species